rnacentral:rRNA from 1 species
AGAGCCAACGGUGGAUGCCUUGGCACAUGGCACCGAUGAAGGACGUGUAUGGCUGCGAUAAGCCACGGGGAGCUGCCGAAAGAGCGUUGAUCCGUGGAUGUCCGAAUGGGGAAACCCACCACCCGUCAUGGGGUGGUACUCCGGUCUGAACACAUAGGACCGGUAGAGGGAACUCUGGGAACUGAAACAUCUCAGUACCAGGUAGGAAAGGAAAGCAACAGCGACACCCGUAGUAGCGGCGAGCGAACUGGGUUCAGCCUAAACCGAGCUGGUGGUAAAGCCUGAUGGCGUUGCCAGUUCGGGGUUGUGGGGCCGAUAGCUCCAGCAUCAGAUGGAGCACGGAGUUACAAAGCUGCCGGGUAGUGGAAGCGCACUGGAACGACGCGCCGUAGCGGGUAAGAGCCCCGUACACGAAACCUGAGCAGCCUCCGAUCGUCACCCCGAGUAGCGCCGGAACCGUGAAAGUCGGCGUGAAUCUGCGAGGACCACCUCGUAAGGCUAAGUAUGACCAUGUGACCGAUAGUGCACGAGUACCGUGAGGGAAGGGUGAAAAGUACCCCGUGAGGGGAGUGAAAUAGAUCCUGAAACCGUUGGUUUACAAGCAGUCAGAGAGUCGCCGGCACUUGUGUCGGUCUCGAUGGCGUGCCUUUUGAAGAAUGAGCCUACGAGUUACGGUGUGUGGCGAGGUUAACCCGUCGAGGGGAAGCCGGAGCGAAAGCGAGUCUGAACAGGGCGUUCAGUCGCAUGCUGUAGACCCGAAGCCGAGUGAUCUAUCCAUGGGCAGGUGGAAGCCGGGGUAAGACCCGGUGGACGACCGAACCCACUUAGGUUGAAAACUGAGGGGAUGACCUGUGGAUAGGGGUGAAAGGCCAAGCAAACUCGGUGAUAGCUGGUUCUCCCCGAAAUGCAUUUAGGUGCAGCGUCGCGUGUUCAGUCAUGGAGGUAGAGCACUGAAUGGGCUAGGGGCCCUACAAGGUUACCGAACCCAAUCAAACUCCGAAUGCCAUGACUCCAGAGCGCGGCAGUGAGACUAUGGGGGAUGAGCUUCAUGGUCGAGAGGGAAACAACCCAGAACGCCGGCUAAGGCCCCCAAGUGUGUACUAAGUGGAAAACGAUGUGAGAUUGCGAAGACAGCCAGGAGGUUGGCUUAGAAGCAGCCACCCUUGAAAGAGUGCGUAAUAGCUCACUGGUCGAGUGGUCUUGCGCGGACAAUGUAACGGGGCUCAAGUACACCGCCGAAGCCGCGUCAUCUUUAUGAUGGGUAGGGGAGCGUCGAUCUCGCAGCGAAGCAGGCUGGGAACGGUCUGUGGAGCGUGGUCGAGUGCGAAUGUAGGUAUGAGUAGCGAAAGAGGGGUGAGAAACCCCUCCGCCGAAUAUCCAAGGGUUCCUGGGCAAGGCUAAUCCUCCCAGGGUAAGUCGGGAGCUAAGGCGAGGCCGCAAGGCGUAGUCGAUGCACAACCGGUUGAUAUUCCGGUACCACCGUGUCCGCGCCCAGCCCAACGUCGCUGAUCUCGAGGCUGUCUUCGGACGAAUCGGGUGACGCUUCUGCGGGUAGCAGAUGAGGGACGCAGGAAGGUAAGUGAACCCAGGCGAUGGUUGACCUGGGGUAAGCGUGUAGGGCGAACCCGAUGAGAGUUGGGUUCAUCAGCCUGAGACGUGACACCGAGCCGUACAGGCGAAGUCACCGAUCCUAUGCUGCCAAGAAAAUCUCAGCUGUGAGCUGGCACGGUGCCCGUACCCCAAACCAACUCAGGUGGAUAGGUAGAGAAUACCAAGGCGAUCGGGAGAACUGUGGUUAAGGAACUCGGCAAAUUGCCUCCGUAACUUCGGGAGAAGGAGGGCCCCGGUAGGGUGAAGGACUUCGCGUCCGGAGCUCGAAAGGGCCGCAGUGACCAGGGGAAAGCGACUGUUUACUAAAAACACAGCAGCGUGCGAAGCCGCAAGGCGCUGUAUACGCUGUGACGCCUGCCCGGUGCCGGAAGGUUAAUUGGAAGGGUUAGUCCUUCGGGACGAAGCUCUGAAAUGAAGCCCCAGUAAACGGCGGCCGUAACUAUAACGGUCCUAAGGUAGCGAAAUUCCUUGUCGGGUAAGUUCCGACCUGCACGAAUGGCGUAACGACUUUCCCACUGUCUCAACCACAGACCCGGCGAAAUUGAAGUACGAGUAAAGAUGCUCGUUAGCUGCAGCAGGACGGAAAGACCCCGUGGACCUUUACUAUAGCUUGAUAUUGGGUUUGGAUUCACGUUGUGUAGGAUAGGUGGGAGACUUGGAAGCAUUGGCGCCAGCCAGUGUGGAGUCAUCGUUGAAAUACCACCCUGCGUGUGUCUGAGCUCUAACCCACGUCCCUUAUCGGGAUGGGGAACAGUGUCAGGUGGGUAGUUUGACUGGGGCGGUCGCCUCCCAAAUGGUAACGGAGGCGCCCAAAGGUUCUCUCAGGCUGGUUGGCAAUCAGCCGUCGAGUGCAAUGGCACAAGAGAGCUUGACUGUGAGACUGACAAGUCGAACAGGGACGAAAGUCGGGCAUAGUGACCCGGCGGUGGCGUGUGGAAGCGCCGUCGAUCAACGGAUAAAAGGUACCCCGGGGAUAACAGGCUUAUCUUCCCCAAGAGUCCAUAUCGACGGGAAGGUUUGGCACCUCGAUGUCGGCUCAUCGCAUCCUGGGGCUGAAGCAG